rnacentral:rRNA from 1 species
UACGGGGGGGGCAAGCGUUGUUCGGAAUUACUGGGCGUAAAGCGCACGUAGGCGGCUUUUUAAGUCGGAGGUGAAAUCCUGGAGCUCAACUCCAGAACUGCCUUCGAUACUGAAGAGCUCGAGUCCGGGAGAGGUGAGUGGAACUGCGAGUGUAGAGGUGAAAUUCGUAGAUAUUCGCAAGAACACCAGUGGCGAAGGCGGCUCACUGGCCCGGUACUGACGCUGAGGUGCGAAAGCGUGGGGAGCAAACAGG